AGGGUUAUAGUUAAGUAUAACAUUUGGGUUGCAUUCAAAAAGUAUUGAAUUAAUCAAUUAACCUUA
rnacentral:tRNA from 1 species